rnacentral:tRNA from 1 species
GCCGCCGUAGCUAAGCCCGGCAUAGCGGCGGGCUGCAGACCCGUAGGUCCCGGGUUCAAAUCCCGGCGGCGGCU